CCUGAAAUCAGGUAGGACUACCCGCUGAACUUAAGCAUAUCAAUAAGCGGAGGAAAAGAAACUAACAAGGAUUCCCCUAGUAACGGCGAGUGAAGCGGGAAGAGCUCAAAUUUGAAAUCUGGCAGUCUUCGAUUGUCCGAGUUGUAAUCUAUAGAGGCGUUUUCCGUGCCGGACCGUGUCCAAGUCUCCUGGAAAGGAGUAUCAAAGAGGGUGAUAAUCCCGUACUUAACACGACCACCGGUGCUCUGUGAUACGUCUUCUACGAGUCGAGUUGUUUGGGAAUGCAGCUCAAAAUGGGUGGUGAAUUCCAUCUAAAGCUAAAUAUUGGCGAGAGACCGAUAGCGAACAAGUACCGUGAGGGAAAGAUGAAAAGCACUUUGGAAAGAGAGUUAAACAGUACGUGAAAUUGUUGAAAGGGAAACGAUUGAAGUCAGUCGUGUUCUUUGGAUUCAGCCAGUUCUGCUGGUCUACUUCCUUGGAACGGGUCAACAUCAGUUUUGUCCGGUGGAUAAAGGUAGUAGGAAUGUGACUUCUCCGGAAGUGUUAUAGCCUAUUAUCACAUACACUGGGUGAGACUGAGGACUGCAGCUCGCCUUUAUGGC
rnacentral:rRNA from 1 species